rfam:Arthrobacter sp. A3, complete genome.
CGAAUGGCCCCUUUCGGGGCCAUUCUCACUUCCAAAAUCCCUGUA